CAUGUAUGAUGUACAAUAAAAAUACUUUUGUUUAUUUUUAUUCAUAUUAAUUUAUUCAUAAUCAUAUUUACAAUGCCCACCAACUCCUCCCCCUCCAUCCUCACCCUAAAUCCUAGGACCCCACCACCACACCUCUUCUACUGUCUGCCAUUAAGUUCUUAUUAUAUUAAUACUCAAUACACAGUUAAUUAAUUUUAUAUUUAACUUUAUAAAUAUUUAAAACAAUUCUUUGUUCAAACAUUUGAAUAUUUCAGAAAAAUGGGAAGAGCUAAAGCUAAAAAAAAAGCUGUAAAGGCAAUCAAUUACAACCCAAGAGGACCUGUAUAUCUCCUUGAAACUCCACUGAGCUCUCUACCUAGCAGACAUUUGUGUACUUAAUAGUCAUGUUAUUUCUGUAUGUUAUUUCUGUAUGUUAUUUCCUCCAUGGUUAAAAGAUUCAAACCAAUCAAUACUAACUUUGCUUGUGUACAAAAGAAAUGCAAAGGAACUGAUAGGCCUUUCAACACUGUGACUGGAGAGUACUGUUUGCUCCAGAGUAUUGUAAAUAUUUGGGCCUCUUGUGGUUUUCAGAACUAUGUUCUUUCAGAAGUAAGCAUACUAAGCACGUUUCUAGAAAUUUACAAGCAAUAUAAAGCUGUUUGUAAUAAAUAAACAUUUAAAAUUAAACCAAAUGCAUCUUAAAUGCAGCAAAAAAAGUUCCUGAUAAUAACAGAUGACCUGUUUGAUAUCAGUUCUCAACAGUUUGAGUACAUUAUGCGUCAGGAUACUUCUAUGCCAAGAGACAGUGCUACAAUAAAAGAAGACCUAAGACUUUCUUCAAGAUCAAAGACAAGACAGAAAAAUGCUUAUCAGUGCUUGUGUUGAUGAAGAGUUAGAGAUCGAGAGAAGAAUUGACAGAUACACUAGACACGAAGAACUAUGGAAGAAAGCUGAAACAGAUCGUUUGGUUCUUAAUGAUCCAGAGAGAACAGACAAUAAAGAUUAGGACUAUAUCAGUGAAAAAGAUAAAUCACCUUUUAAAAAAUGUAAAAGAAAAUCAGCAUUAGGUCUUUCCCAGCUGUACCCUGAUAGAGAAGAUUAUCACCCUGACUUUAGAAAUGAUCUAACUGGCUGAUAAACCUGAUAGACCUAAAUCAAGACACAGAUCUGGUCCCUCAGCCUUGGCAGUAAACAAGGAGAUCUAUACGGAGGGUUUGAUUGCAGAAACCACGCCAAUGUGUAUGAGGGCUGGUAUCCAUAUAAGAGAUCAAACUCUAAUCAUCUCUAGCAUUGUAAUUUAUCUUAAAGAAGAUAUCACAGAGUAUUAGCAGAGAGUCAAUCAGAAGAGGCAGAAACUAAUUCAUUCUUAAGCUUGUAAAAUCUGUAAUGAGUAUAUGGAAAAAAUAAAGAACAAGUCAUUAAUGCUACACUUUGAUGGAAAAAUUGUAAAGCCCAUUGAAGAAGAAUCAAGGAAAAGUUCUUAUUGAUAGACUAGCAGUGUCAGUUACAAGUCUUGAGUUUUCGUCAAACAAUGAUUUACUUCUUGGAGUUUUUCAUGUGGAUGAUGGAAAAGCUAAUGAUGGGGCUAUUGUACCACAAUCUGGUAGAUUAUUUUGAAAUAUCAAAGAAUAUCAUUUCUGUGUGUACUGAUACAAUAGUUUUCAACACAAGAAAAAAAUCAGGAGCAGUUGUAACUUAAGUCAGUUUUGGGACAAUCAGUUUUCUGGCUGUUGUGUCGACACCUCAUUGUAGUGAUCCAUUUAAAAUGGGGCAUUAAAGCUAUUUUUAAAGACCAAACUGUGGAACCCUCAAAACAGAUGUAUAAAGAUUUAAAGCAUGCUUGGAUGAAUAAUUAUUACCCUAUUGUUAGUAAAGCAAGAGCUAAGAAAAAAUUCAAGAAAUUUCCUUAAAGUGAGCUGGUUGUUGGAAGCAAUCUUCACAGUUCAUAUCUUAAGUCUAAGAAAUUUAUUGCUUAUUCCCUUCAGCAUAAUGUCUUUUCUAGGAAUGAUUAUAAUCACUGGGUAAAAUACCUUGAUUUCUAUAUGAAUGUCAAAUCACCCAGGCUUUGUACCAACUAGGUGCUAACCCUAAUGCCAGAUUUAUGUUUGACAGCAUCUACUCGGGGCUUCUGGAUAUAACAUCUUCUAUUAUUAACUUCCUGAGUGAUGAUCAGAUGACUGGUCUCUAAGGCUAAGUUUAUUGUUGCUCUAUACUUUGCUCGUUCAUUUCUGAAAUUUAGCGAAGCUGAACAUGCACUAGUAAAUGACCUUGAGGCCAUUUACGACUGUAAAUGGCCUCAAGUGUAGCAACAAAGCUGCUAAAAUCAUCCAAAAAUAUAUACCAAGUGUAGCAACAAAGCUGCUAAAAUCAUCCAAAAGAAUUGGGAUUGGCUGAUCCUGAUCUUGAUUUGUCUACCAAAAUGUCUGUCAUAGGAAAGCUACUUACAUUCUGUGUACCUAACCAGAAAGGUUUAGGCUUAUAGGCUCCAAGAAGAGUAUCCAUCUAAGUCUACUAAACAAGAAGACUUAAUUACAGAGGAAAGCUGGCUUUUGUUUAUUAUUACUGACACCACUAGUGUUGUCAGGGAGUGGUAUUAGACUGAGGUAGACUUAAAGUAACUUAAAUCUUAUAUAGACUUUUGUAGCUUUGUAUGUGUCACUAAUGAUUUUGCUGAAAGAGACAUUGGUGCUAUCCAAGAAUAUGUUGAUACAUCCCACAAUGAAGAUCAACACCAGAAUAUAUUGUUGGUUGUCUGAGAGCAUAGAAAGCUUGUUUCAAAAAAAAUGCCAGUCUCAACUUAUGUUAAAUAAAUGAUGUUAAAAAAUAA